ACGAACGCUGGCGGCGUGCUUAACACCUGCAAGUCGAACGGAAAGGCCUGCUUUCCCUUGUGGAUUGCGGGUACUCGAGUGGCGAACGGGUGAGUAACACGUGAGUGAUCUGCCCCCAACUUGGGUAUAAGCCUGGGAAACUGGGUCUAAUUCCCGAUAGGACUGCAGGGUGGUGCCUGUGGUGGAAAACGAUUUUCUAGUGGUUGGGGAUGAGCUCGCGGCCUAUCAGCUUGUUGGUGGGGUAAUGGCCUACCAAGGCGGCGACGGGUAGCCGGCCUGAGAGGGUGGACGGCCACAUUGGGACUGAGAUACGGCCCAGACUCCUACGGGAGGCAGCAGUGGGGAAUAUUGCACAAUGGGCGGAAGCCUGAUGCAGCGACGCCGCGUGGGGGAUGACGGCCUUCGGGUUGUAAACUCCUUUCGACCGCGAGGAAGCCACCUGGUUGGAAGGGUGGUGACGGUAGUGGUAGAAGAAGCACCGGCUAACUACGUG
rnacentral:rRNA from 1 species